rnacentral:rRNA from 1 species
UUCCGGUUGAUCCUGCCGGAAGUCACUGCUAUCGGGGUUCGAUUAAGCCAUGCGAGUCGAGAGGGUUCGGCCCUCGGCAUACUGCUCAGUAACACGUGGAUAACCUGCCCUUGGGUCUGGGAUAACCCCGGGAAACUGGGGAUAAUACCGGAUAACGCAUAUGUGCUGGAAUGCUUUAUGCGUAAAAUGGAUUCGUCCGCCCAAGGAUGGGUCUGCGGCCUAUCGGGUAGUAGUGGGUGUAAUGUACCUACUAGCCAACAACGGGUACGGGUUGUGAGAGCAAGAGCCCGGAGAUGGAUUCUGAGACAUGAAUCCAGGCCCUACGGGGCGCAGCAGGCGCGAAAACUUUACAAUGCGGGAAACCGUGAUAAGGGAACACCGAGUGCCAGCAUCAUAUGCUGGCUGUCCAGAUGUGUAAACUACAUCUGUUAGCAAGGGCCGGGCAAGACCGGUGCCAGCCGCCGCGGUAACACCGGCGGCCCGAGUGGUGACCGUUAUUAUUGGGU